rnacentral:rRNA from 1 species
GGCUCAGGACGAACGCUGGCGGCGUGCUUAACACAUGCAAGUCGAACGAAGCACUUUAACCUGAUUCUUCGGAUGAAGGUUUUUGUGACUGAGUGGCGGACGGGUGAGUAACGCGUGGGUAACCUGCCUCAUACAGGGGGAUAACAGUUAGAAAUGACUGCUAAUACCGCAUAAGACCACGGAGCCGCAUGGCUCAGUGGGAAAAACUCCGGUGGUAUGAGAUGGACCCGCGUCUGAUUAGGUAGUUGGUGGGGUAACGGCCUACCAAGCCGACGAUCAGUAGCCGACCUGAGAGGGUGACCGGCCACAUUGGGACUGAGACACGGCCCAAACUCCUACGGGAGGCAGCAGUAGG